CAAUUCACUCUGUGCUUAAAAUGUUCUUUUUCCAUGUUUUGUUUUUCAGAGCCUGUUCUGCUGGGACACAGAAUCACUUGCUCCAUCUAAUACAUUGAUGAUGAUUAAUUUGUAUGUGUACCUUCCAAAAAAGAUGGUUGUGUUUGAACGGAGGCCUCCUGGACAAGAAAAUAAUCACAUCCUUCCUGAGAUAAUGAGCACACAAUUGCCUGGAUACCUGAAGGAAUGGAGACAGUGGCAGAAAACACUGCAGAGAGGUGGAAACAUCCGUUAA
rnacentral:lncRNA from 1 species